GGAAGGAUCAUUAACUAUUUGGGGAGAUUCAGUGCUUGAUGCUGGAUGUAGGCGUGUUUUCUCGGGAAUGAUAACCCGCACUGGCCUGUGAAAGCAGGCUGUAGUGUUGCUCUCUUCAGGGAGAGCCCCGCGGCGCUUGUCGUGAUGAGGGUUAGAAGCCUGGGGGGCUCGGUCUGCAUUUGGUGCUUGGUGCUGCGUCUUCUCCAUCUACCACCACCCUUCAUGAGUACCUUUGUUUCCUUGGUCGGUUCGCCGGCCACUGGACCUUCAGUAACCAAUUUGUAAUUCUUGAAUUGUCUGAAUCAAAACAAAAUCAAAAAUUAAAACUUUCAACAAUGGAUCUCUUGGCUCUGGCAUCGAUGAAGAACGCAGCGAAAUGCGAUAAGUAGUGUGAAUUGCAGAUCUCCGUGAAUCAUCGAAUUUUUGAACGCACAUUGCGCCCUUUGGUAUUCCUUAGGGCAUGCCUGUUCGAGCGUCGUUUCAAUGUUCAAGCUUUGCUUGCUGUUGGGCGUCUGUCCUCGCUGUCUCGCGUGGGGACUCGCCUUAAAUCUAUCAGCGUCCGUAUGGUUAGGCUAAGAGCGCAGCAGAUUACAGCGCCUCGAAGCUUUAGCGUAACGCCUGCUGUAAAACCACAUUUAAACUUUUUGACCUCGAAUCAGGUAGGGAUACCCGCUGAACUUAAGCAUAUCAAUAAGCGGAGGAAAAGAAACCAACAGGGAUUGCCCUAGUAACGGCGAGUGAAGCGGCAACAGCUCAAAUUUGAAAUCUGGCUCUCUUCUUAGGGGGUCCGAGUUGUAAUUUGCAGAGGGUGCUUCGGCGUAGCAGCGGUGUAGGUUCCUUGGAACUGGGCGUCAUAGAGGGUGAGAACCCCGUCUGUCGCCGCCUUGCGAUCGCUUUGUGAAGCCCCUUCGAAGAGUCGAGUUGUUUGAGAAUGCAGCUCUAAAUGGGAGAUAAAUUUCUUCUAAAGCUAAAUACCUGCCAGAGACCGAUAGCGCACAAGUAGAGUGAUCGAAAGAUGAAAAGCACUUUGGAAAGAGAGUGAAAAAGUACGUGAAAUUGUUGAAAGGGAAGCGCUUGCAGCCAGACUUGCCUGCGGUUGAUCAGCCGAGCUUUUGCUUGGUGCACUCUUCCGUAAGCAGGCCAGCAUCAGUUCGGGCGGUUGUAGAAAAGCCUUAGGAAUGUAGCUCCUCUCGGGGAGUGUUAUAGCCUAGGGUGUAAUGCAGCCUGCCUGGACUGAGGUCCGCGCUUCGGCUAGGAUGCUGGCGUAAUGGCCUCAAGCGGCCCGUCUUGAAACACGGACCAAGGAGUCUAACAUCUAUGCGAGUGUUUGGGUGUCAAGCCCGGGCGCGCAAUGAAAGUGAACGGAGGUGGGAACCCUUCGGGGUGCACCAUCGACCGAUCCUGAUGUCUUCGGAUGGAUUUGAGUAAGAGCAUAGCUGUUGGGACCCGAAAGAUGGUGAACUAUGCUUGAAUAGGGUGAAGCCAGAGGAAACUCUGGUGGAGGCUCGCAGCGGUUCUGACGUGCAAAUCGAUCGUCAAAUUUGGGCAUAGGGGCGAAAGACUAAUCGAACUAUCUAGUAGCUGGUUCCUGC
rnacentral:misc_RNA from 1 species